CAGAUGGAGACACUUGAGGACAGUGUGAGUGUCCACUCAGUGGAUUUGACUCUUCUUGAGGACAGACUGCUGUUCACGUGUUCCUGGUUUUUCUCUCAGAGUUGAGAAGAUGAUGGAUUUGGAGGAAGAGGAGGACGGAGCAGAGUCUACAGUAUCUGGCCGUCUGUCUAUGAAGAGUGAUCGGUCCAGAAAUUUACCUCUGAUCUUCAGUAAUGAACCUGGACCCUCAGACACAAAGGGCAUUUUCAUCAUGAUUGACAGCUGUGACAGCCAAUAUGAGCGCUCACAUUCAGUGAGGCUGCUCGCGAUUGGUCGGGCCAAUGUUUUGGCAGGAACUCCUCCACAGCGGAAAUCGCUACCGUGCAGUCUCCGGCUCUCAGUGACAUCACCAUCCCAACAUGG